CACCCAGCGCGUCAUCCUCUCUGCUCCUCUCCUUACUUCCCCCUCCUCUUUGCGCCCCACUUUCCUAACCCUAGCCCAUUCCCUCGCCCUCCCCUGCCGCCGCCGCCGCCCGUUCCCUCGCCCUCCCCUGCCGUCGCAUCGCCGCCUUCGCCGACUCGCCCUCCCCUCCUUCUCCCCAGCCGCCUCUUCCGCUCGUGCUGCGGUCGCCAUCCGCCUCUUCCGCUCGCCCCGCGGUCGCCAUCGAGGGCCUGUCGCUUGCGCCGCCGCUUCCCCGUCGAGCUCGCGCGUCACGCCUCAGGAGGAAAGGAAGCCCACGCUGCUAUUCCCGGCGGAGCGCGCCUCACGCCGUCGACGGGAGGAUGCCAGGUGGAGCUCCGUCAUUGGAUCUUCCUUGGCGGCGGGCCAGCGCCAAGGAAGGUCACACCGGGAAGCGGCUCAUCCUCGGCGGCAAGCCAGUGCCGGAUCUGGUGCCUAACGCCUGCAUCUCACGCGUCACCAAGUCGCCGACGGGGGUGCUGUGCUGGCCGGUCGGAGGCCGAGCUCGCCUCGGCCACCAAGUUGCUGUCGGGGAACACAAAGUGCCUCGUUUGAGGACCUGGAGAGGUCGCUACAGCAUGGAUGUGAAGGGCAUUGAAGCAAGGUGAGCCUCCGCCUCCCCCUCCCCAUCUUGCCCAUGAGGCCAUGACCCCGCAAUAGACGUGAGUUUUGAACAUUUUCUCCUCAAUUGUUUUAUGACUGAUCCUUUUUGGUGUCAUCAGAUGGUUUCAUGCCCUCCUCUUGCAACAGAUAAAUUUAACCAAUUACAAAGCUAUAGAAAGUAUUCAUUUAGCAUUAAAAACUUAUACCUUUUGUUUUAGAGAAUAUUUGAGUAUGAAGCAACGAAGGAUUAUUUUGUGCGCCCGUAUACUCUGUAAAAGUUUGGCAAUGUGCAUUUUUUCAUUUAAGAGUUCUACUUCUUGCAAGAUAAGGCAAAGUGGCAAGCUUCUCCAUUUGUAUAUCCAUGUGUUUUUUCCUAGAAACGAUGGCUGCAUGUUUAUGUUUUACUCCAUGACUAUAGUUUUACUCCAUGACCACACUGUUUCUUGUAGGAUCUAGCUACCUUGAGGUGACUUAGGAUCAUUGGUGUGUCAUUUUUUUUUAGUUAUUUUGUCGAUCUGAUUUUAUGUUCUUCCUCAGUGAAGGCAGGUUAGAGGAAGUUGAAUCAAGACUGUAUGUUGCAACAACGUACCUAGGCAUGUUGUAUGUAUUAUCCUGCUGUUGGUGAUUCAAUGGCAUUUUUCAGUUUUAUUUGUAGUGAAACUCAAUGGAGUGUUGAGAGCAUUUUCCUGUGCAUGUACUCAUCUUGGCCGCCAAGUUUCCUAAUACAAACUCAUUCAACCACGUAUAUGUCUGCCCUGCACGCGGUUGAUGUUUAGUUCUUUGGUUUUUGCAUAUGCAAAUAUGAAUGUCUCUAUCUCUAAUGCUGUCGAUUUCAAGGUAUGAAAAAGCUUGAGACAUUUGAUUUUGGGUUAAUCCCGGUUAUGAUCGUGCAGGCUUGAUGUUCAUAUAUGUGACUGUUGGCUAUAUGUACUCCUGUAGCCUGUUGUUGAUCCCUGCAUAGCUCCUUCAUAGUUUGUUUUAUAUGUGCCCAUACGGAGAAAUUGUAAAUGAACAUAAAUAUAUCUGUUUAAGAGCAUUGUGUGUAUUGGUCCUGCAAUUAAAUUGUGAUGUCCUCUAUUAUAGAUUCCUUCACUUCGCUACAUACCUGUAGAAAGAGCAAAUGGUGUAUUGUAUGAACUACUUGUCUCGGUUAUAUGGUUGGCAACCGUUGACUAAUCUACUCAAUCAAGUAGUUUACUCGGUUUAGCAGGUUUUUUCCAUUUGGUUUACUCUCUCUGUAUUCUUUGGGAGUAUUUAGAAUUGAACUAUAUUUUUAUAGUAAUUGAUACUCACUGUGCCUCACGUGACAGCGCUAUGUCUAGGAAGAGGAGGGCAUGUUGAACCAUCGGCGUCAGCUUCACCGUCAUCCUCGGCAUCGGUAAUACGUCACUCCCAAGUCGUCUUUGUAUCACUGCCAGUCUUUGGGGUUUUCUAUAAUAACAAGAUGGUUUCUGGAAAAUAACUGCUAGGAAUUGUUGCUAGGCAUGAAGCACGAGAAAGGCGGCAGUAAGAUGUGCGAGUCAAUAUUAAUCUUCUUGCUUCGGGGAUUUUCUAUUUCGCUCGAUGUUUGAUUCUAUUCAUGUCCUUGAGGCCAUGGUCAUUGCCAUCGAUAGUACUAAUGGUCAGGUUGUAGUGCUUUCCCCCCUGUUGUUAUAUUGUUGGCCCCUGUUAAUGUUUGUUGUACAAUUUCCUUGAUUUUUCCGUUCUGCCUUGUUGUGCAUUGGAUCCUCAGUGGUUGGGUUGUACUGUUACAUAAGAAGAAUCCAUCUGUCGAAAGCAUUGAGCUUAAUUUAGAUAUGUGGAUGCAAUCUUUCUUUUCGUGUAUAAGAUAAUUUGUGAAUGAAGUUAAGAGUUCGCUUAAAACUGGCAUGACCUACAUAAGAAAGAUAAGAUGGGCGCAUUUGCUUUAUUUUAAAAAUAUACUGAUUACAAUAUUUACAGAUUUCUUAUUAGUAUUUUGCAUAAUUGUGUUCUCUAACUGAUCUGGUAUUUCAUUUUUAGCAUGAUACUUCUUUGCAGAUACAAAUGAGUAAUUAUCAAUUGAUAUUUAACAUCACAUUUGGUAGUGGAAGAUUUAGUAAAAUAAGGUGGGUACAUAUCAUUGAUCAGUAUCUGGUGUUUUUCGACCACAUUAGUUAGUAGUUUUUUUAGUUUUGGUUUAUUUUAGUUCCAGUAUAUUUAAAGUGCUGGUAUUUGCUUCUGAAAAUGGCUUUGGUAACAUUGUGAAAUAUAUCUUUGACUUAUGACUAUGCAUUAAUUAUUUAUGUGCUGUGAAUUGAGUGUCAAUGUGUUUUAUAGUACUGCCAGGUUAGAGUUUGGUGCCAGGGUCGUUGCUGGGUGCGUGGCUACUGCUCCUUCGGAUUCGGUUACUGUCUCAGGUGCUCAAUGUACUACUGCAAUAGAUGCAUUGCAGUUACCAAUCUUCGUUUUCUUAGUAGUAUUGAUGUGUUAUUUCCUUUGAACUGUCUUGUUGACAUUGCCUCCUCCAUUUGGAGGUAUCUCUUUCUUGGUUUGUUGUGGAUACAUGAUAUUUUAGUGACUAUUAACUGGUUCAUAUAGGCGGCCAACUGUAGUUGCCAUUGUGGCUGGUGGGGAAUUUAAUAAUAGCUGCAUUUUAGUUCUCUAUGUGCCUUGACGAAAAUAGUAAGAGAGGGUUCCGAACCAAAGGAUCGGUUCCUCAGUUCCUCACUUCGUAAAAUUGUUCAGUCAGACCACCGGUUACCUGACUAGAAUGCUUCCCUGCUCACCUUUCCUACUAAGUUGGCCUUUGUUUGGGCUACAGCUUCUGAUUCUCAGAUUCUAGGCUUCUAAACACGCCGGAUUCCUGUGUUGCUUCCUAGAAUCCGAUUCCAAAAAUGAACUACCAGCGCAAGGAAUCCGGAAGCAGCGAUUUUGGCGAUUCAGCAGAUUCAAAACGAUUCGUUUUGUGCCCUUGCCCCUAUUUUCGCUCGAAACUACAACAAAACUGCCACCGCAGCCUCAUCCAGUAUCCACCCGCAGCCCAGGUCAACGACACCCAAAUCCCCUCGUCCCCAUAGCGACCGCGACGGCAAUAACAUCAACGGGGAGGCGCGCCUAUUGCAGCUGGAGGAUCGGGUGGAGCACGGCGGCGGCGGCGUGAGGGAGUACCGCAAGCUCCGCGCGCGCGCCCCGCCCCCAUCCUCUGCGUUGGCCUUUCCCUCAAUGACACUCGUGGUGGUCAGGUUCCGGCGGCUCCAUGAGCGUCGGCCCCGGCGGUUCCUAAGCGGAUGGGUCUGCCGCAUCCGUACCUGCCCGAAGUUCGUCCAACCUCUCUGGCCCUGUUUGGUUCGGCUGUUGAUUUCUAAAAGCAGUUGUGAAAAAUCUGCUUUGGAAAAACAGCUGUGGAAAAUCUGAUGUGAAGAAGAUGUAGGUCAUUUGGCAAACCAGCUGAUACAACUUUUUUAGAUUUUGGCCCGCAGCGGAAUUAGAUUUUGAAAAGCACGUCCCGGGCUGCUUCCGCUUUUGGUUCAGAUUUUGGCAGCGGAUUUCUUAAAUCGGAUUCUGCUGGGUUCGCCCUUUGGUUCAGAUUCUACUGCACGGCAGCGGAAUCCAUCGAUAAAAGCUGAACCAAACAAGGCCUCUACCCAUCCCCAACCUCCGGCCACUACCAAGCGAAUGGAUCUGAGCGCCUUUGCUCCUCCCUGACCUCCGGCCACGCCCAAGCUAAUGGCAAGCUCCGUCGGCUGCGUCCGCUCUUCGAGUCACUAUCCUCUGUUUGCGCCAUCCACAGCUCCGUCCGCUCUCCCCCAAGGACCAGCUGCACCAUGCCUGACCUGCAUCGCACCACGCCCCAAGCUCGGGCGGCGAUACCCACAACGUCAGAUUUUCGGAAUCUGCAGCUGCAGCUGAUUCUUAGAAUCCAAGCCGAAGCUGAUUUUCAAGAAUCCGUAACCCAAACUGUGGCAUUAUUCCUUUUUUGAGUUAUAUGUAUGGAAUCAGUGACGGCCAAAGCACGCAAAUUUAUUGUCCUAAUUAUAAGUAAUGUGCCUAUUUGGGUUGUUUGCCUCUUUAGUCUCCAAAUUGUAUGCAAGGCAGACAUGUUCCAUUCACAUGGUAUUCAAUAGAUAACCUUUUGCACAUUUACUAAUAUGACACUUCACCUGCCUGCUUGCUGGCCACUAAAGCUUAAAAUUUUCUCUUACAUAAAGUAGUUCAGCAUGAAGCAACAAAGGUGUUGUUUGCCCAUGGAGCCCCAUAUAUUUGGAUUCAUUUCAUGGCGAGUUUACAUUGAUCUUUUUCAUUCAAUAUAGAUAACAAACUUUGUUCCUUAUAUCUCUUGAGACAUGCCUUCAUUUCCCUUUAUAGGUAUUAGUUUCCUGAUUGAGUUGGUCGCAGUUGUCGUCAUGUUUUUAACCCAGCUGCCCCAGUUAUACUUCAACAUGUAGAGUCGUUUGUUCUUAUAUCUAUUUGACACAUUUUACGUGCACCUAAUAUCGACCCGUUUUCUUCAUGAUGUACGUCUUUAGGUGGCAUAUUUGCUGACUAACCUCUUACUGAUAAAUGACAAUGCCUUCUUCAUGCACGACUCUACAUGGUCGAUUGACGUCGAGAAUCAUUUGCUUCAGCCCUGAUGACCAGUUAUCUAGAUGGCAAGAUGUUUCGAUGAAGUUUAUAUUGCUAUGCCAUAUUAAAAUAGUGCUCUUAGAUUGGCUCAAACUACUACUAUGUCCUGCUUGUGUUAUGUCGUACUAAACCAUCUCGAUUCUCUUGGUAGUUUCGGCUGCAUUUUCUACCACUCCCCAAACAAAUUUAAAGGAAACAUACAUGAGUUGCUUGAUGUCAGUUUACUAAUCUUGCCUUCUUGAUAGUUCCUUUUUGGUCACUGUAGAUAUCUAUUGUUGUAAAAAUGUUGAGAUAUCUUCUCCAGGAAUAUGGUUUUUUCUUCACUUUCAGGCCAAUGCUACUCAGUUUUUCUUUGAGCGACCUUUUCUUUGAGCGAUGAGGAACUUCAACCGUCCUUGGCGAAGGACUGCUAUCUGAUUGUCAAUAGCCUCCUGUGUAAAUGCUUCACUUUCAAUAAUUUGUACUGUCUUGCUGCCCUAUGUGCUACUUAAUCCUGAUCUAUUAAACAUUACCUGGCCUAUUCCUUUGUGCCGAGCUUGAUGUGCCUAAAUUGUAAUCUGUGACAUGUACUUUGAUUGGAAAAUUCAUGAGGUCAAAGAUUUGCAUUGUUUUUGGUGUUGAA